GGUGGCUCAAUGGUAGAGUACUUGCCUUGCAUGCAUAAGGCUUUGGGUUCAAUUCCUCAGCACCA
rnacentral:tRNA from 1 species